UGAAGAAAAGUGUAAUCUCGACCAAGACUUGUCAUAAUAGAAUUUUUCUUGAUGCGGAACUCGGGAUCAACACAUGCAAUCUAAAAUCUCGCGUAUAAUAUCAAUAUGCAAAAACUUAAACCUCUAAGUAGACCUUUCAUACUUAAUCCACAUUCAACCUGCGAAUGUAAACUAAGGUAAUCGAGAAAAGAAAUUAAAAUUGAAAAGACACCACAAACUUACCUUAUCCUAAUUCCUAGCUCAACAAAAUCGUUGAAGACUCUCU
rnacentral:lncRNA from 1 species